UCAGGUUGGAUCCUGCUGGAGUCCGAUGGUUGACACCAGGUCUGAGGAAGUAUUUCUGUGAACUCACCCUGGAUCCAAACACAGCGAACAGAAAACUGAAACUGUCUGAAAACAACAAGAAGGUGGAACGAGUGAAGGAGGGUCAGUCAAAUCCUUAUCUUCAGGACAGAUUUAAGGACUGUGAACAGGUGAUGUGUUCAACUGGUCUGACUGGUCGCUGUUACUGGGAGGUCCAGUGGAGUGGAUGGGUUGAAAUAUCAGUGACUUACAGAGGAAUCAGAAGGAAAGGAAACAGUAGAGACAGUUGGUUUGGAGGAAAUGAUCAGUCCUGGAGUCUGUGGUGUUAUGGAGGUGGAUACAGUGUCUGUCAUAAAAACGAAUACACACCCCUCCCUCAGUCCUCCUCCUCCUCCUCUGGUACAGUCUCAGUGUAUGUGGACUGUCCUGCUGGAUCUGUGUCCUUCUACAGAGUCUCCUCUGACAAACUGAUCCACCUGCACACCUUCAAAACCACAUUCACUGAACCACUGUUUGGAGGAUUUACACUGAAGGACACAGGAUCCACAGUGUGUUUGUGUGAUGUGUAGUUGUGUUGUGUAGUUGUAUUGUGUAGUUGUGUAGUGUCCAUAAAAUGGUUGUGUUCAAAUCAGUGUCAUUUGAACACAGUUGUGUGUGAGUUGAUGCUCUACAAAUACACAAACAUUUAGAAACACCAAGAACAUAAAUCAGCCUCAGUUCUUCAACAGUUGUCUUGUUUCUUUGGAUGCUUUCUAUGUUUAUAAAAUUAGAAAUGAAUCCAACCAGUAGUUUGACAGAAGAAUUGCUCAUGAAGACGACGCCUCCACAAUAACUCAUCUGUGUGCAUUUUUUCCACAGUGAGAGGAUUAGGACUGUAGACUGAAAAUGACAAUUCCAGUAAAGGAGCGCAUUUACAGAAGAAAGACAGAAUGUUGCAUCCAAUUCUCUUUUUU